AGGAUUAAUGAACGAAUCAUUGCAAUUCAUUGAACAAAUGAAUGCAUGGAUUUGAUUCUUCUUUAUUAUUUGUACAACAAAAUUCUUAAGUAGGUCUUUGCUAUUGUCUCUGGACUGGGGCUUUCAGCUAACAUACAGUAGGAAUUGGAUUCAUCAAAAAUCUCCUAGACAUAUAUCUGUAUUUCUGAAAAUUUGAAAUGAUAGGAAGUUGUUUCACUAUGAUAGCAAGAGUUGGAGGCAAAGUUUCAGGAAUGUGUGAGUUUUCCUCUGGUUGGUUAGUGGUGUUUAUUAGUGGUAAGGGCACAGGGAGUCAAUUUCUCUCUUUUCUGUACAUCCCCUGAAAGCUGUUCAGUAGAAUAGAUGAGUCUCUGUUCCACCCAUUUGUGACAUCACAUAGGUUUAGACCAGCAGUUUGACAAGGAAUUUGAGGGUCAACCCAAAUUACCUUUAUGUGCUUUUUGUUGUUUUGGUAAAAGAAGUGUGGUUAUAGGAUUUUUGUUUCUGGACAACUAACAAGAAAAGAGAAGAAGACAAAACAGAAAUUUGCUGUCUGCUGAGCAGCAACCAGGAGCCUGCAACUGGAAGAGCUGCGCAUGUUUGAGAACCAGGCCUUGGAGACGCUGCCAUGCUGAAAGAGGUGGAUGGAUGCUGGAGAAGCAGCAUACGCUGCAGAAACCUGCUCAGACAGAAAGUUCCAGAACCAAGAAACAAACCCUUUGCAGUGUCUCUACAGCAUCCAUUGCUGACAAACUUACUACCAGUUGGCUGAGAAACAUUUAUAUAGGGUCCAAAUCCAUUUCCAUGAAUUGGCUAUGAAGGACAAACUCAGCGCUGAGAGGCAAUUAGUUGAUAACUGGCACAGUGUCCUAUUUCCUAAUGUGAUGAACUGGCAGGAACUCUUUCCUAGUUGGGUAUGAUAAGGAGUGUGUGAUAAAUACGAGGUGGAACUGACAAAGGCCAUGGCAUUGAAGGGGAUGAAUUAUAAUACUUCCAAAAAGAAAAGGGAAAAACAUUUACCUUGGAACUAUAGUAAGAGUAUUUUAUUUAAUCAGAGCUCCCUAAUCUCUCACUCUCUAGGCUCUCUGUCUUCUGAGACAGAUGACACCCAUGGCUCUGAAUGCCACAUUCCAUUGUUUUCCAGCAAGCACACAGCUAAAGCAUUGUUGUCAAAACUCCUCACUUUAAAUAGGACAUUGCCCACACCCCACCCCACUGCUCCAAUCCUCUAAGCAAAUGAGACUGCAAAUCCUAAGGCAAAUAAAUGACUGAAAGAAGGCAUGCACACUGUUGAUCAAAUAAUUUUGCUUCUGUUCCUGUUCUUGCAAACUUGCAGUCCUGUCCCUUAGAUGUCGCAAAAAUAGCUAAAUGGAUGCAGUAUACCCUUGAGCCAUGGAUCUUCUCUUAGAACUCUUAAGCAAGUUGAUGCUUUUUUCACAAUGUAUAAUACUUUUGAACUUUUGUAUUUGUGAUUUUUCCAAGGUCUAGUGUCAAUUUGGGAUGAAACACUUGUCCUAGACAUUCAUGGCAUAAUGGAAAGAUCACUGUACUGAGAGGCAGGCUACCUCCCUCCAAACCUAGUUGGUUCAUUGUGAAAAGCUGCUGUAGGUCUCGUGUCUCAGUUUCUCCAUCCAUAAAAUGAAUGCAUUGCAUUUAAAGACUGUAAAAUAUUGUGUACUUUUAUAGUUCUGCUGGGUAUCAAAGAAUUGAAUUCUGUUAGAAAGCCUAAUGUAGACAUCCCAACUGUAUGCACACAGCCACCUCUUCCCUUUCUCUCCUCUCCAUGCAAAUGUGUGUGCCUGAGUGGGUUUAUAUGUAUGAAUAUGAGGAGAAGACCAGCAGGGUCUAGACUAAAAUGUUAAGUAUAGUUAUUCCAGGAGGUAGGAUUAUGGAUGACUUAAAUUUCCUUCUUUAUACUUUGCUAAGUCUUCCAAAUGUUACACAAUCUGAAUGCAUCCCAGUUGUAAUCAGGAAAAGUAGAUCUUAUUUAGCAGUAAUAUUUGCUUCAACAUCUUAUAGAAGAUAUGCACCAAUGUUACACACGUGCAAAAGUGAAAUGCCCCAGUAAUCCACUCACUGAAGGAAUGAGGUCGGAACGUUUACAAACCAUGCCUGAAGAUUUGUGCUUUCUUCAAAUGCUCGUGGGUCUGCUGGACAGAAGUCUGUUUUCAAACAUCCUCAACAGUUUCUGAUCAUACUAGUAGUUCCAUCUUUUGAAGAUGAUCCAACCUGCGCUUCCCAGAAGAAGCAGAAAGAAAAGCAAGUUAGAGAGAGGAGUAAGAGUUUUGCAAACAUUGGGGAAACAAGGAAGCAAAGAGGUAGAAGUUAGGUAUGCAGACUCCCUGGAGGGAAAUCAUCCUCCACUUGAGGAGAAGAGGAAGUGUCCAGUUUCCAGUUAUACCACCUUCUUUGCAAAACAAAACAUUUUCUUGGCAUCUUGAAUGUAGUUCAAAUUUUGUGCCUUCAGUGUCGAUAUAAAAGAGACAAAAAAUCAUUUGGGUGUUUUGCUUCUUGUUGGUGAGAUAUCACUGCAUUUGAUGUAUCACAGGGGCUGUUCUGGAACAGUUUCAAGUAGUUAUGGUUGUGUUUAAAACUGUAUCUGUCUUUCAUCACUGCAAGUGACUGCGGUGAAGGGGAGGAAAAAUUCCUCUGUACCCUCAAGGUCUUCCAGCUGGACUAAGAUUGAAUUUACGUGAGAUGGAUUAACAGGAAAUAAAAACCAAAAAUUUAUUACAUGCACACAGUGGUUCAAUAAUGAAAUAAAGACCUAAAGAAAUGA